GAGAGCAGGCCUCGCCUAGCGCCUUAUUCAUUAAAAACACUUUCUCUCUCUCUUUUCCUUCCUCUCUUCUUUUCGUUGAUUCUCAUGAUAAUUUUCUUGAUCAAAUGAUUGAACUGAUGUGUUUUCUGAUAUGGGUUUUGAUGAUUCAUUCUGGGUUCUGUUUAAUUUUGUGAAAUUUGACAGAGAACUUGCCGAUUUCUACUCUUUUCAUAGUUAGGGUUUAACUAGUCUGUGAUUUCAUCAUAUUUUUGUAUAGGAAAAUCUUAACAGUAUAUGUUGUAUUGGAGUUGUAUGCAGGUUGAGAAGGGAUAAUGCGCUGGGGAAAAAUGUCCUUCGAUUUCAGCUAAGUGUGUUGGGCUAAGAGGCCAGCAUCUUGAUGAAUGCCAUGGGAGAAAAGCAUUGUCAUUUUCAUCAAUGUUAGUACUGCAACUGGAUUGUGUACUGCAGUCAAUAAAGCUCAAGGUCCAACAACAAAUUGUGUUUACUCAAGAGGAGGCCUCUAAAUGAACGCCAGGGGAGAAAAGCAUCUUCAUCUCUCUGUCAAUGUUACGGACGCUCAGUAACAUGACUGGAUUUUUUGUGGUGACUAAUGACAAAUUUGCUGCCUUCAGAAUGAACUUAUUAAGUUUGUCUCCGGUCUAUUCAGAAUUUCAGCUCUCUACUAAAUUUCUUUAGAAACACCAACAACAGGAGGGGAAAGGAAAAGGGUUAGUGAUCAACAGAAAAUGGAGCAAAUCAAGCCAACAAUACCACAUGUGGUCAUCUUUCCCUACCCAGCACAGGGUCACAUGAAUUCCAUGCUCAAAUUAGCUGAGCUUCUCUGCCUAUCAGGCAUCCAUGUAACCUUCAUCAAUACUGAGUUCAAUCAAUCUCGUCUCCUCCGCUGCACAGAUGCCAAAUCUCGCUUUGGCUGUUUCCCGGGGUUCCGUUUCGAAACCAUCUCUGACGGUCUUCCUGAUGAUCACCCUCGCGAAGUUGGUUUCCUGAAGCUCAACGACAUGUUUGGUCCCCUCAAAACUGUUAUUGAACCUGCUUUCCGUGAAAUGCUUAUUUCGGGUCGCCUGAAAUCUGACGUCAGAGGUCAAGUUACUUGUAUUAUUGCUGAUGGAAUUUUAGGCUUCACCAUAGAUGUUGCUGAAGAAUUAAAGAUACUCUCCAUCUGUUUCCGCACUGUUAGUGCUUGCUGCGUGUGGAUUUAUUUCUGUUUGCCAAAACUUGUCGAAAAUAACGACUUCCCAUUCACAGAUGAAGAGCUUGAUCGGAUUGUAACAAGCGUGCCAGAAAUGGAAGGAUUUCUACGAUGUAGAGAUCUGCCUAGUUUCUGCAGAACUAAUGAGCUCGAUGAUCCUGCUUUGGAGUUUGUCAAGACUGAAACUUUCAAUUCAACUAGAUCCACAGCUCAAAUACUCAACACAUUCGAUGACAUCGAAGCACCUAUUAUCUCACAGCUGAGAUCUUACUGGCCAAAUCUCUAUACAAUUGGACCUCUCCAUGCUUUAUUGAAAACUGUCAGAGGAGAUUCUUCAUCUGCAAAAGUAUCUUCAAAUGGGCUAUGGCAGGAGGACAGAAGUUGCAUGAGUUGGCUCGAUCUGCAACCUCCAAAGUCCGUUGUGUACGUAAGUUUUGGUAGUCUAACGAUGGUAAGUCGAGAGCAGUGGUUGGAGUUUUGGUAUGGGCUAAUCAAUAGCGGAAAGAGGUUUUUGUGGGUUCGACGACCAGAUUCCUUUGUUCAAAAUGAAGAAGACAGUCGGAUACCAGUCGAGCUGACAGAAGGUACUAAACAGAGAGGUUACAUGGUCGAAUGGGCACCGCAGGAGGAAGUACUGCUCCACCCUGCUGUCGGCGGAUUUCUGACACACAGUGGAUGGAAUUCAACACUGGAGAGUAUGGUUGCAGGAGUUCCUAUGAUAUGCUGGCCACAUUUUGCUGACCAGCCGAUUAAUAGCAGGUAUGUUAGUGAGGUGUGGAAGAUUGGAAUGGACAUGAAAGAUACAUGUAGUAGAACGAUUGUGGAGAAGCUAGUUAGGGAUAUGAUGGAUGAUAAGAAAGAAGAGUUGAUGGCCAUCACUGGUAAGGUGUCGAAGCAGGCAAGGAGGAGCAUUGCUGAAGGUGGAUCCUCUUAUUGCAACUUUGCAGCAUUACUGGAAUUCUUAAGAACAACCGCAAAUGUGGCAAACCAAAAUUAGAGUCAAAAUGCAGUCCCCGGCAUUUAUCUCUGGUAUUCGCUAAUUAAGACCCAUCAUUUUUGUCCGUGUCUAUGUUUCUUGUUAUUUUGGUAGCAAGUGGCAUGUGAUCAUAAAGCUAAGAAUCCAUAUUUUAGUGGGAAGCGAAUGAUUCCAUUUCCGUGAUUAAAUCCAACGAUAAUUAAACUUUUAUUCAAUGAAAAAAGUUAUCAAAGAUCCUAAAGGAAGUUCUUUAAAUUCUUUAAGCAACAUGAUAAGGUUGUAUGAAGAGUAAAUUUGUACCCGUAAGAGCUUCAAUCCAAAGAUGCUUACCAGCAGUCCAGGCACAAGGUAAUAAGAUUUUCUCUUCACUCCAGUUGCAAAAUUCCAUGUCUUCAUAAUCCUCGAAUUGCACUAUGGUUGGGUUGGUUAAAUAUACCAAGGCUUCAUAAUCCGAUAUACGAUUCAAUACACCAAAGCGUCCAUCAUAUUCCAUCAACUGAACUGUAGGUAAUGGACCUCCUUUCUUCUGUAAUAAAGACAUUGACCAAUACUUGAAAUCUUCACUCUGAAAAUUAAAUUC